GACGAACGCUGGCGGCGUGCUUAACACAUGCAAGUCGAACGGUGAAGCGCCUUCCUUUUUUGUAGGUGUGGAUGGGUGGCUAACGGGUGAGUAACCCGUGCUUAACCUUCCCCCUUCUUCUGGAUAACCGCAUUAAAGUGUAGCUAAUACAGGAUAUUCUGGGUCUGUCGCGUGAUGGGUCUGGGAAAUGUGUUGUUUCCGUGGGGGAUGGGCUCGCGGCCUAUCAGCUUGUUGGGGGGGUGAUGGCCUACGAAGGGGGUGAGGGGUAGCAGGCGUGAGAGGGUGGCCGGCCAGAGUGGGAGUGCGACACGGCCGAGACUGCGACGGGAGGCAGCAGUGGGGGAUAGGGAACAGUGGGGGAAAGUGUGAAGCAGCGACGACGCGGGAGGGACGGAGGCGCUCGGGGUGUGAAGGUCUUUGGCUAGUGAAGCAGGCCUGCCUGGGGUGUGGGGGGGUUGACGGUAGCUGGAGAAGAAGCGCCGGCUAACUACGUG
rnacentral:rRNA from 1 species